GGAUUAGAUACCCUAUUAUUUUUGAUGUAAAUUUUGGUACCUGAGUAGUAUUAGUUUUAAGGUCUUGAAACUUAAAGAAUUUGGCGGUAUUUUAGUCUUCUUAGAGGAAUCUGCUCCGUAAUCGAUAUUCCACGUUGAAUACUUACUUAGUUUAAUGUUUAUAUACCGCUGUUUUUUAGAAUGUCUUUUUAGAGUUAAAAAUUUCUUUUUUUUAUUUGAGGUUAUUUCAGGUCAAGGUUUAAUUUAUGAUUAAGUGGAGGUGGAUUACAAUGUUUAUAGGACAUAAUGGAAUUUGAAUUGUAAUAUUUAGAUGAAGGUGGAUUUAAUAGUAAUUUGAUUUAGAAUGUUGAGGUGAUUUUGGCUCUAGAAUAUGUACACAUCGCCCGUCACUCUCGUUAUUAAGAUGAGAUAAGUC
rnacentral:rRNA from 1 species